UACGAAGGGUGCAAGCGUUACUCGGAAUUACUGGGCGUAAAGCGUGCGUAGGUGGUUUGUUAAGUCUGAUGUGAAAGCCCUGGGCUCAACCUGGGAAUUGCAUUGGAUACUGGCAGGCUAGAGUGCGGUAGAGGUAGUGGAAUUCCGGUGUAGCAGUGAAAUGCGUAGAGAUCGGAGGAACAUCUGUGGCGAAGGCGACUACCUGGACCAGCACUGACACUGAGGCACGAA
rnacentral:rRNA from 1 species